rnacentral:rRNA from 1 species
UACGUAGGGUGCAAGCGUUGUCCGGAAUUAUUGGGCGUAAAGCGCACGUAGGCGGCUUUGCAAGUCGGAUGUGAAAUCCCUCGGCUUAACCAAGGAAGUGCAUCCGAAACUGCAGAGCUUGAGUACUUAAGAGGAUCGCGGAAUUCCCGGUGUAGAGGUGAAAUUCGUAGAUAUCGGGAGGAACACCAGUGGCGAAGGCGGCGAUCUGGGAAGAUACUGACGCUGAGGUGCGAAAGCGUGGGGAGCAAACAGG